GAUGAACGCUAGCGGCAGGCUUAAUACAUGCAAGUCGAGGGGCAGCAGGACUGUAGCAAUACAGUUGCUGGCGACCGGCAAACGGGUGCGGAACACGUACGCAACCUACCCAAAACUGGGGGAUAGCCCGGGGAAACCCGGAUUAAUACCUCGUAACCUUUUUAAGUGGCAUCACUUGAUAAGUAUAGCUCCGGCGGUUUUGGAUGGGCGUGCGCCUGAUUAGGUAGUUGGUGCGGGUAACGGCCCACCAAGCCUGCGAUCAGUAACUGGUGUGAGAGCACGACCAGUCACACGGGCACGGAGACACGGGCCCGACUCCUACGGGAGGCAGCAGUAAGGAAUAUUGGUCAAUGGACGCAAGUCUGAACCAGCCAUGCCGCGUGAAGGAUGAAGGUCCUCUGGAUUGUAAACCUCUUUUAUGGGGGACGAAACCCGGAUAUUCUUAUCCGAUUGACGGUACCUCAGGAAUAAGCACCGGCUAACUCCGUG
rnacentral:rRNA from 1 species